ACUAAGUUGGCAGAGUAAAAGUGCGAUAAAUUUAGAAUUUAUUUACGGUGUUCUACCACUUAGUA
rnacentral:tRNA from 1 species